CUAAUCUUUUUGCCUGUGUAUGUGUGUAUGUGUAUAAAGUACUUGUAAAUAGUUCCAAAGAAUGUCCUUUGGAAGAUUCUGGAGAUUUUGAAGAAAUUCUAUGGAGUUGAUAAGGAAAAUUUCUUCUGUUUUUCUCAGGUAAGUGUGUUUACAUUUGUUUAUCGUUCUGUAGGAUGAAAAUGCUGUUAUUAAAAUAUUAUUAUUCAUGAGUAAGCAUUUUAUCUUAGGUUUUCAUUUCCAAUGAAAAUAUAAAAUUCUGGUUAAGGAAUCUGUUGCCAUUCAGAUAUCAUUAUUCUUGGAUUCAAAAAGUAAUUUGUGUUUUGAUUUUUAGUGAAUAUGUAAAUGCUGGUUAUGCGCAUAUUCAGUAUACCCUUGCUAUAAGUGGUUUUAAAAAAGCAUGUUUCUUACUCCUUUAAAUAGAGACACCUGAUAAAUUGGGAAGGAGGGUGGAGGUCUUGGUCACAGUGCAAUUGGUUUAUAACUUUAGGUCCUGCUCAUUGGUUUUUUGGUGGAGGGAAGUUAGGAAGAAUUCAGAAUUUACAGUCUUGUGAAUGAUUUCUUUUUUUAAUGUAGGCAAAUCCUGUGUGUGUGUGCUAAGUCACUUCAGUCAUGUUCGACUCUUUGAGACCCUAUGGACCGUAGCCCACCAGCCUCUGUACAUGAAUUCUACAGACAAGAAUACUGGAGUGGGUUGCCAUGCCCUCCACCAGGGGAUCUUCCCGAACCAGGGAUCAAACCUGCAUCUCAUCUCCUGCAUUGGCAGCAGGUGCUCUUAUCCACAAGUAUACCUUGUGCUUCCGGCAAAGUUGAUUAACCUCUUGGAGGAUCGGUUGGUUCAUCUGCAGUCUGGGUUUGAUAACAGCAAACUGCCUAUUUAGCUGUGAUAAGGUAUUCCAAGUGCUUUGAGAACUAUGAAGCAUCGUGGGAAAAUAGAAAUUGCUGUUAGUAUUACUGCUGAUUUGUGCUUUUAUAGUCAACAUUUUACUUUGCCUGUGAUGGGCCUGUUUGCGUAUUUGUCAGACCAGGCUUUCUGUUUAUUCUUCCAAGCUUGUUACAGGACCCACUUUAGCCAUCCUGGGGGGUCUCUGUGUUGCCUCCUCUGGGUUCUUUGUUGGUCAGUCCACCUUUUGAAAGUGAUCCUGUAGAUCACUUCCCCUCUAAAUGGAAGAGAAAGAGACAGAACAUAGAGUCUUGAAGCCAUCCACAGUUCUAAAUACUUGUUGGAUAUUCUGUGAGAGUUUUGGUUGUUUGGGUGGAGGGUGGAAACACUCAAACCAUUGGCAGAAAGCAGGGGGGCAGAAUCUGACACACGUGAGCCUAUGAGGGGACUUCCCUGAAGUGACAGAGGAAAGAAGGUGAAGUGUUAGUCGUUCAGUCGUGUCCGACUCUGUGACCCCUCCAGGCUCCUCUGUCUGUGGAAUUCUCCAGGCAAGAAUACUGAAGUGUGUUGCCCUUUCUUUCUCCAGGGAAUCUUCCUGACCCUGGGAUCGAAUCCCGGUCUCCUACAUUGCAGACAGAUUUUUUUUAGUGUCUGAGCUACCAGGGAAGUGAUAGAAGACAUCUCUGCAAAUCCAGAGUAGUCAGUUUGCCUUAAGGAUGCCAAAUUACUCACUUGCUAGCAAGGGUAACCUCCUGUGAUAACGUAAAAGUGGCCAAUCCUGCUGUUUAACUUAGGAAAUAUUUUAUCCUGGAGAAGCCAAGUGGCUUUCCUCCUCCCGUGGGGAAGGAAACAGUGUGAUGUUUCUAACUACUCAGUGGGUCUUUAACUCUAUUCAGUCUCUAAUUUGGGAGCACCAAGAGGAAGUAUUUAAUAUCCCUCUUCCCUGGUGACUCACAUGGUAAAGAAUCCAACUGCAAUGCAGGAGACCAGAGUUUGACCCCUGGGUCAAGAAGAUCCUCUGGAGAAGGAACUGUCUACCCACUUCAGUGUUAUUGCCGGAGUCUGGUAGAUUACAGUGCAUGGGGUCGCAAAGGGUCAAACACGAUUCAGAGACUAAUACUUGCAUUUCAACACACUUUUACCAGAGUCACCCAUUCCCUGAUAUCUGUGGAACUGUACAACCUAAAGAUUUCUGAAUGUAUUAGAUUUUUCCAGAGCCCAGAUCUACAUAACUUUCUUUUGGAGGGAGUGAAUAGAAUGAUGAUGGUGGUAAUUAUUAAGUCACAGAGGACACAGAAGAGCUCUGGAAUUAGGGGGGGCAGGAAGAGUUGUCCUACAACAAUGAGCUACAUUAGGAAAAUCCCAAACAGUGCAUUUAAUUGUUUGUGCACUUAAACGAUAUAAAUUCGUCGUGGGGGUGAGCCAGAGGAAAGAUUCCUUCAGGAGUCUUGUGGCCUGCUUCAUUGUUUUUUUUCUUAAGUUUUUAUAAGUUUCCUCUAUCUCAAGAAAUUAAAGCUGGCAUGAUCUCUUAUCUCUGUUCUUCUCUCGACACCUGAACCAUUCUCCUCCACCCAGGCCACCUUGUGCCUCUGUUUCAUCAUCUUUAUGCCUGAAGAUGUUCCACUGUGUGCCCCAGAAAGAGAAACCAUGCACGCAGGAGAUUGAGUGAAGCCAGAGGAAGAACGUGAUUGGUCAGCAUAGGCCAGUGAACUGGCUCCGUCAGGGUCAAAGUCAAUCCACCAAUCCUGUGGUCCCUCUGUACUUAAAGCACCACAAGGAGCAACGGAAUCUCUACCCUCGAGGAGUCUUAAUCGAGAGUGGAUCAUGUCAUUCUUUCCUGAGGCCCAGGAGGGGUGAGUUGUCCUGUGUGCUGUGCAGGGGCGGGGCGCCGCCCCUGCUGAAGCUGGUGCGUUCCAUUGGACAAUGUGGCCUUUUCUGCUCGACUCUCACUGGGCAUGUACAGUGAGAUGUGGGUGCGGCUGACCAUCCAUUGCAACAAUUCCCAAGCUUCCAGAGUAAGGCAUUUUCAAAUAAAAAGAUGUGUAUAUUGUAAUUACUAAUUCUGUUUACCCUCUUUUCUGUGAAAGGACUACAGAAACUUGACUUUUAAAAAUUAGCGUGUGAAAAGUCAUUCUCUCUCUCUCUCUCCCCCUGCCCCCAGAUCCCCUCUUCUCUUGCUUUGAACUACAUUCUUGUAUUCACUCUGCAACUUUUUAUUGUGAGCCUUGUGGUGUGUUGUUGAAAAUACAGCCGAGGACGGUUUUAUUCUUAUUGAACUGAGGGCCCUAAUGAGAGAUGCAGAUGCUAUGCUGUUUCUAGUGGGG
ensembl:lncRNA